CCUUGCCAAGUGAUGGCUUUCUCUGACACUGCUACCGGUUCUGCAGCCACAGCUUUUGUUCUCGAAUCUCCUCCAGGGGUUCCUUGUCUUGUGCACCCUUGUCCACAAUAUACAGAAUCCCUCUUGUUUGUAGUUUCGCCUUCAGACGUUUAAUCAUUACCCCUGAUUAGCCAGAGCCCAAAAAUCUUAAAUGGGGAAUUCCAGAAAACUGCUGCUGGAUAAACCCAUCUGGCAUGCAGCAGCCAUGAGUGUGCUGGGUACUGAUAGGGUCAGGGACAGGUGGGUUGUGGUGCAAAGCAGCACUUACGGUCACACAGAAGAGACUUCAGGACCGUGGACAGAGCCAAAAGCCCACACCUUCACCAAAGAAGAAGACAGAAGAACAAUUAUUUCUGCAGAUUAAGCCAGGCAAGAGAGGCAGGCAGUGAGGUGAGCAAGGGCCACAAGGAAGGGAAGGUGGCUCAAAGGGCAAGGGCUGCAGAGGAAGCUUGGUGCCUGGCAACCUGCCCUCCGCCCAUCCCCAAGUUAACCUCUGUGGGCAGCAAAGCAUUAUUCCCAAAUCUAAAUCAAACCAAUUAUUCCUUCACCCCAAUUCUUUGCUUCCUGCUCAAAACUGCCAAACUUCCUUACUCCAGCCUCUGAGGUAAGAUGGCCAGGCCCUUGUUAACUCUGAUCUCAUCUACCCCUGACUCCCUUCCUUCCCGGAAACACAGGCUUUCCUAAUACUCCCAGGGGUGCCCAGUGCACGAUUAUCUCAGGACCUUAACACCUGCUACUCUCUCUCAUGCUUAACCCCGCUCCCCAUCCCGACAUGUAUGCAUGCCUUUCCUGCUUUCACCCUUCACCUCAGUUCUAAACUUAAAUCUUACUUUCACGUGGACGACCCAGUGCUUCUCCCACAACGACACCCCCAUCCGCCUCUUCUGUAGUACACUAUUUAUGUGUUUGUCAAUUGUCUGCCACUCUUGUGCAUGCAGUUUCCAUAGAAGAAGAGUGUCCUCGUUAGGGCUUCUAUUGCUGUGGUGAAACAGCAUGACCAAGAGCAAACUGGAAAGGAAAGGGUUUAUUUGACUUAUUUUCCACAUCAUCAAAGGAAGUCAGGACAGGAAGUCAGGACGGGAAGCAGACCAGGAACCUGGAGGCAGGAGCUGAUGCAGAGGUCAUGGAGGGAUGCUGUUCACUGGCUCUCUCAUUAUGGCUUGCUCAGCCUGCUCUCUUCUACAACCCAGGGCCAACAGCCCAGGGAUGGCACCACCCACAAUGGGCCCUCCCACCCUUGAUCACUAAUUGAGAAAAUGCCUUACAGCUAGAUCUCAUGGAGUUAUUUUCUCAACUGAAGUUCCCUCCUUUCAAAUGACUCGACCUUGUGUCAAGUUGACAUAAAACUGGCCAGCACCAAGGGUGUUUUAAUAUUUUGUUUAACGCUUCCUCUCUAGUGCCUAAUGCAUUCAUUCUGUCAUGCCCAACACACAACAGGGACUCAACUACAUUUGCUGAAUGAAUGGGAGAAGCUGAAGGGGAGAGCUACCUCAUUCCUAUAGAAACUAGUAACCAGGAGGUCCCUGACAGCCUUUUCUGGACCCUGGCCUGACAGAAUAGAAGCCUGGCAACAGCAGCAAGGCAGCGUGUGAGGGAAGAAGCGGGAACAGGGAAACAGUAUGUGAUACCUGUAAAAGGAAGCAAGGUUUAGUAAUGCCCGUGUUAAGGAUGCAGGAGACUUAAAUACUCACUUGUCAAGAAAGAGCACGCUGGGGCUGGAGAGAUGAUGCAGUGGUUUAGAGCACUGGCUGCUCUCACAGCAGACACAGUUUGGUUCCCAACACCGACACAAUGGCUAACGACCAUGUGUUGUCGCUCUAGUUGCAGGGGAUCCAACACUUUUCCAGCCUCCACGAGCACUGUACACACAUGGUGCACAGAUAUAUGUGCAGGUAAAGCGUGCACAUGCGUGAAAUAAAAAAUAAGUCGAAAAGCAGUGAGCUGUGGAAGAGAAUGGGGCAGAAGACACAGGUGGAAGGGGUACAGCUGCCAGCCCAAAAGACACUAAGGAGCUGUGUGUUACUAAUCAAAUAAAGCAGGCUGUCCCUGCACAGCUCACCCUAUAGGAAGAUUGCAUGUUCACAGGAAGCACAACCCAGAGGGCCUCUUGUGAGUUUCCCCCUUUCUCUGUCUAGGCCACCACACCAGAAACCUAGGGUUGAAAAUUCCUUCUGUCUGGACUGCUGGGAGAGGAAAGGAAAAACCUCCUUUGCAAAGUGCCUGGCAUUCGGGAUCACUCAACAAAACUCUGGGGCUACAAGAGCUGUCUCAGCAGUUAUAAACAUUUACUGCUCUUUCAGAGGACCUGAGAGUUCAGUUUCCAAUCCCCAUGUAAGGUGGUUCACAGUUGCUUUUAACUCCAGAUCGAGGGGAUGUGAUUCCAGUCUCUGUGGGCACCUGAGCGCAUGUACAUGUGUGCAUUCUCUCUCUCUCUCUCUCUCUCUCUCUCUCUCUCUCUCUCUCUCUCUCUCUCUCUCUGUGUGUGUGUGUGUGUGUGUGUGUGAAUGUUAUGUUCGUCUCUCUCCGACUCUCUGUUUCUGUCUCCAACCCUGUGUGUCCGUCUCUGUCUCUGUCUGUCUCGUCUCUGUCUCUCUGUCUACCUCUCUCUCUCUCUCUCUCUCUCUCUCUCUCUCUCUCUCUCUCUCUCUCUGUCACACACACACACACACGCACACACAGAUACACAUAAAUAAAAACCAAUUUUUAAAUUUCAAGUCCUCCCCUCUAAGGUCUUAUUUGUUCAGACAAGAAGAAAAUGUGACAAUGACUUCCUUAAUGAUAUCAACCAACACCAGGCUGUUUGUUUCUUGAUUGCAGCCAGGAAGUGGGACCUGCUGUGAUAUACAGGUAGGACAAAGGAUGCUGACAGUCCCCAGCACCACACCUUAAGCACCUCUGCACGAGGAAUACUAGGUACUCACACCAACCCAACCAGGGGUGUCCCGAGAAGCUGGAGAAUGUUUGGAGACCUUCACAUAUCAUGAUUCUCUGUUUUCAUGACCCCCAAAUGCUCAAGACAUCAGCCUGGGGCCCAGAUUCUAGCAAAUAGUGAAGAGGGUAGGCUUUGUGCUUGAUAGUUGGGAUUUUACCUCACAGCUAUGCCUCUAAACCAGCUGUGUCACCUCUGGCAAGUCACCCCUUCUCCCUGAGCAAAGCAGAUAUCAUACUUUCACUACACCCGUGGGGAAACUGAGAUUCUGUGAGAUAAAAUAACUCAGGCCAGGUGGCACAGGCUAUCAGUCAGUCUCAGCAGGAAGCCAAAGCCCGAGGAAGUAGAAAAACAUCUGAGUACACUGAGUAAAAGGUUUACUUGCAAAGACAGGAACAGGGCCAGGGAUGCCACAGGAAUCUGGAAGCACCUGGAAGUAGAUAUCACAAAGCAUCUUUUCCUGGAAGGAGUUUUCCUGCUCCCCCAAGUAUGGUAACGGACACGUGGCAAUGGCCACCAACCCACAGCCAUGAUUUGGGUUGAUGGAGCCCCUGGGGAGAAAUGAGAAACUGAAUAUCUGGCCUUACCCCCUCCUUCCAGCACAUCUCCAUGGAAUGGACUCAGUCAGAAGAUAUGGGGUCCAUAAAAUCAUUAAUACAGAGGACAAAUAGAUUUUACUACACACAGCUAACUCUUAGAUGGCAAAAUAUGGGCUUCUAAACAACAAAUGUCUUAUAGGGUCUUAGAAAAAUAUUAUGGAAUGCAUGAGUGUAUAGUUAGGAGGAAGGAUGCAUGAGCAAAUAAAUAAAUGGUGAAUGGCUGGAUGGAUAAAUGGAUGGGUGCUUCAUAAAUGCUGAAUGGGGGAGGCCCCAAGACCUGACACCAUUACUGAAGCUAUGGGGCAUUCACAAAAUGGGACCUACCACGACUGCUUUCCAAAAGACCCAACAAGCAGCUCAAAGAGUCAGAUGCAGAUAUGUGCACCCAACCCAGGUCUGGGUUCAGUCAGAGAAGAUAUACCCAACCCUUAAGAGACUGGAAGCCCUAGGAAGUUUAGAGGUCUGGUGGGAUGGGUAGGGACAUCCUUGUGGAGAUGGGAGGCGGAGAGUGUAUGGUAAGGGAGGAGGUGUGAGAUGUGGAAUCCCCAGGGGAUGGACCUGGAGGGGAAAAAACCUGGGGUAUAAAAAUAAUUUAAAAAUAAAUAAAUGCUGGCUGCUUAGAUGGUAGGAUGGAUGGAUAAAUGAUUGCUGGCUGGUUGGCUGGAUGAUGGAUGGCUAGAUGGUAGGAUAGAUGGAUGGCUAGAUGAUGGAUGGUUGGAUAGAUGGUUGGUUGGCUGGUUGGUUGGAUGGAUGGGUAGAUAGAUGGAUGAAUGGGUAGAUAGAUGGUAAGAUAGAUGGAUGGAUGGAUAGAUCAUUGGGUAGAUGGAUAGAUGGGUAAAUGGAUGGUUGGGAGAUGGUUGGAUGCUUGGAUGAUAGAUGGUUGGAUGAUGGAUGGAUGCUUGGAUGAUAGAUGGUUGGAUGAUGGAUGGUUGGUUGGCCGGUUGGAUGAAUGGGUGAAUGGAUGGAUAGAUAGAUGGUAGGAUAGAUAGAUGGAUGAUGGAUGGAUGGAUUUGAUGGUUGGAUGGAUGGAUGGGCAAAUGGAUGGAUGAUAGAUGGUAGGAUGGUUGGAUGAUGGAUGAAUGGAUGGUUGGGUAGAUGGGUAGAUGGUUGGAUGGAUGGAUAGAUGGUAGGAUGGAUAGAUAAAUGGAUGAUGGAUAGAUGGAUGAAUGGAUGGAUGGAUACUGGAUGCACAUAAGGAUGAAUAAGUCCUGCAGACUUCAUUCAUGUGGCUUUGAUUAAUCUCAUCACCUGAUUAGAAAUAUUAAGCUUCUUAGGUUUGUUUCUAAGCCAUAAAUGGAUUCUAAGAAUAAAAGCUUCCUUCCUAGAAUCUAAGUCCCUGUAGGAGUUACCUGUCACACUCUGGCCUCUGGCUCAUUUUUCCUGUGGCUGCUAGAGUUGUUCCUCCCCACAAGAUGCCAGCCCCAAGUCAGGCCAACAUGUAUGCUGCUACAAACAAAAGUGAAGAAAUGGUUGAGGUCAGAGGAGCCAGUCCUGCUCCCUCCCCUGGGGCUGGAAUGCAAGCCGAGGCAACAUGCUUCUCUGCCAGCCCAGGGAGCUAUGGAGUCUGACAGGGAGGGAAGGUGGAAAGGCAGGAUGUUCACUAUAAUUAUUUUCAUUGAUUUGUCUACUCGGAUCCCAAGCGCUGCGGAGCCGUUGUGACAUUUAAUAAAAAUAAUUCAAGGUAAAAAUACCUCUUUCUCUAUGCUUCCUCCUCCCCCUUCAUUAACACCACCUCAGCUUUCUGCCUCCUUGUCUGAUGGGUGCCCAGGACCAACUACAGAAAGAGGCAAACAAAGGUGGGGCUGGACCAUGGGAGAGAAAGCCUGAGAACUGAGGAGACCCACCAUCGCCAGAACUGUUCUUGUCUUCAGCCCUCUGAGUGUUGGGUGCCCACCCCCAAAACUCUGAGAUAGACUAAGUUAAGCAUGUAAGGUUGUAUCUGAAGCUGGGACUCCCUGAGGUAAAGGAGCAUGCUUUCCCAACAAUCUCUGCUUUUGCCUGAUGACCUCACUGCUGAUCUCCACCACCCCUCCCCUUGACCAUGGAGAACCCUCCCGUAUACCAAUUCUUACUCAUUUCCAACCCUGCCUAGGUUCUUCCUUCCCCUUCUGUGUCUGCUUUUCAUCAUGAAACAAAUAAUAUUCAAGCCAUGAUAGAGUAGAAUAAACUGAGAUACUAGAGUGGCAGCCCUUGUCACCUGGCCUAGCCCACCAACUACGUUCAUGACCUUGAGCCCCAACAGCACUCUGUCAUUUACUAUUCCUGAAGAAACUGAUGCAUAAGGAUAUGAACCCUGGACACACAGUCAGGAAGUGGCAGAGCUGGGCUCUGCCACGCUCUGUAGGAAGUCAAAAGCCUGCUUUCUCCCCUAAGAGUCCUGUUACCUCUCCAGAAUGUAUCUACAGUGUAUCCUAAGCCCCUGUCUCCUGCCUUCCAGAUAGACAAUCUCCUGGUAGGGAUCCAGUCUGACUCAGCAGCCAGAGUUCAAGAAGCAGGAGAGGAAACCGGAUCCUGAGCCCCCUUGACUUUGUGAAUCCUAAGAGCACAUGGAGCCAUCCCAGCCUGUCGGGGGCAGAUGUAAUCAGGGUGACCUCCCCUUUUUCACGGAUUCAUUAAAGUCUGUGUUCUGGGGUAAAUGAUUGCUUUCCCCUCGUCCUAUUGAAGGGAAAAGAAAAUCAAUUGCCUCCUUGUAGACCUUGUAGAUUUAGAAUGGGACAGUUGGCAAUUAGAAAACACUUCCCCCAGGCAGGCGGGGGUUGGGGGAGGGGGUUGAAGUUGACUCAGGUUGUUUCCCCUGUGUUCUGUCAGUGGCAUCCUGUCACUGACAUCCUGGUGAGGCCUCCUGGUUCAUCAAAGACUGGAGCAGUCCUGGUUGGGUCCAGAGAUGUCCCACCUGUGCCCCUGGGGUUCUAAGUUCCAUCUCUGCUUGCUGUUAGGACCUUCCUGAAGCUUCCACUCUUUCCCCUCCCCCACCCACCCCUGCCUGACGACUAAUGGAUUUUUCUCUGUGCGGAGAGAUUUACUAAACAACUGAACUAGGACGCAUUAAGUCUGUGGGUUUGGAGGUUUGUUUUAGAGCAAUUCUCGCCCGGAGAACUGGCCACUGAAAUUAAGAUGCAUUCUUCUCAGCAAAUAUUGAUUUCAACUCCAAGCAAAUCCGAGAAGCUGCUCGCUGGAUUUAAAUUCUGGCAGCUGCAGUGUGGACUGAAGGAGGGGGUCAACAAGGUGCUCCCCACUAGAGAGGCCCAGAAAACAAGGCAAUGGAGAAAACACAGUCAAAGCAGCGCUAGAAAGUAUCAUAAGGCCAGCCAAACGGAAACUCAUUUGGAGACUCAGCGGUCUAUUACCAAAUGGGAAAAGUGACCGUUGCCCCAUACACUGUGUCCACACCAGAAAAUUUAGGGACAUGCGAACACAUUAUAGAGGACCACAGCAUUCAGCAGAAUCAGACCGUAGGGAAUAUCUACAAGCCUCAGAAACUAUAGAUUAAAGAAGAUAUAAGCGAUACACCAGUCACCCAGGCCGGAAAGACCCUGUGGUUUCUGACUGUAAGAAGCAAAAAGGAAGGAGGAAAAGUCUAUGAGGCCUUCAGAGGCAUUCCAGUACGGGUAAGCUCUUUGACGAAACCAAGGAAUUACUGUUCAUGUUUUGGUGUCUGUAUCAAUUAGCUGCUGUCGCGUUAAAAGCCACCCCCAAAAUUGAUAGUUUAAAUGAACAACUGUUUUUGCUGUUUUGUUCUUUCAUGGUCCUGUGAGUCACAUAUUUAAGCGGAUCUCAGCUGAGGUGACUCAUGUCUAUCCUACAGUAUGAUCUCGAAUCGAUAUGGAGUCUCAACACUGGUGGCUCUGCUAUCUAAAGCUGAUCUGCAUCCCACCAACACGAAGAGAACCCAAAGGAUACAGACACAACACCCCGGUAGUAGCUGUGUCUAGAGCAUGGUCUCCUGCUUCCUCAGGUUAUACAAAUGAGUUGAGAAGUGGAGAACUUUCCUAGGCACCCCACGUCCUUUCCCUCUCCGGACACAACACAAAGUUGAAGCUUUGUACAAGCAGUGUGGCAGGGUGAAUAACUGCAAGCCCUGGAGCCCCAGGACUGGUGUUCCACCAUUAGUGUGCACUCUUGCCCAGGUUAUUUUGAGAUUUAUGACCUGGACCACUUUUGGAAUUGCAGAAGGUUGUGAUGAGGAAGUGAAAGACGGGCACAUCUGGAUCCAGAUGUUUGAAGGCUGUUGUCUGGAACUUGCCCCCAUCCAUCUCUUACCUGGCUUCCCUAUCAGUGACUGUCUUCCAGGGACUACCCUACUGGCAACAACAGGACCAUAUCCCAUCACCUUGGCAGCGAGCCUCUCAGGUUGGGGGCUCCCAGAACCAGCCCGGCAACAUGUGCAUUCCCAGAGAGAGAGAGAAAGAGAGGGAGUUGGGGGGAGAGGGAAUGCUCUGAUAGGCGGUGUGAUUCUUGGUCUGGCCCUGUGCCCGGAAAGAAUACAGACCUAAGGAGCCACACAGACGGAAGAGGGAAGGUGGUCCCUCAAAGGAGGGAGGGAGAUGGCGUCUGUACAGACUGAGCAAUGCAAUAGAGACUCUCCAGGCAUCAACUAUCACUCAUUCACUCGACGAACAUGUGUGUCUGCUGUCCGGUCAAGGCACUGGGAAUGCGGUAUGGAGCAAAGCAAAAGCCCUGGAGCUUGCGUUUCAGAGGCGGCGACAAAAACCACAGAUGUUGACAAGUUUACGCUGAGAUUACAGAUGGUGUUUUUCCACGAAGCAGAUCACCAGGGUACUGUGAGAGAGGAUGCAGGGAGAACCGUCCUGAAAUGGAGGAGCACAGGGAGGAGUUGGAAGACGGUACAAAGGGAGCCAUGAUUUUGGGAAUGACAUAUAGGUUGGGAUUCAAGUGAGAGACUUGGCUGCAGAGCCAGGAGAAGGACUCUGGGGAAAGAUUCCGGUACAUCUUGGGGAGAGUGAGGCUCAGACUGACGGAAUGUGUGACAAUGGCAGCCAGUAAAUUGUGCUCAUCUGUUGGAGGCAACGGUUAGGGUCUUGACAGCCACGUGGCCUGCUCUAGGAAAAGUGAUCUGGAGGGAGGCUUGUGACAAAAUGAGCAAGAAGGACCAACACUGUGGAGACAACCUGGAGGCAGGGACUGGGGGACCAUCUUUGAAUAGAUGUAUUUCCUUCUCUGCACACACGUCUUUAUGAAACAAGACAGAGGGCCAAGGAGAAGACACAGAAGAGUGAGGCCUGAUCUUUGACUUCUGCUUGCUCUUCAUGGGCUUCAACAAAAGGACUUCUCACCUCCACUCUGCAUUAGAAAGUUCUUCAGAUAUAAUCUCACAGGGUACUAAGGUUCAGAGAGGGCAAGUGACUUAUAACAAGCCACACAGAAGAACUGAGACUAGAUCCCCCCCCCCCCCCGCCUCUGUACAGAUGUUCCCAGCUUCUUCCACCCACCAGCUUUGUGUCUGUCCCUGGGCCUCUAAGCCAAUCUACCCCAUUUUGAAUAUGUGGAGACAGUAAAGAGACUCCUCAGUCCUUCCCACCUCAGGUCUAGGUCCUUCAGUUCUGCCUGGAUGGUCAGGAGUCACCUCCAGUGCCUCCAUGUCCAUCAUGUUUGUCCACCAUGACACAUCUGGGCUCAUCCCAAGUCAUUUAAAGGAGAUCCUACCUGCAACCUCCAGGGCUGUGUGCUCUUGGCUUGAAACUCAUCUGUUGACAGUGUGAUUUCUGAAGAGGGUACGUACUCCUUAGCUGCUGUAUCGACAGCAAGAGACACUCCUCCUCAGCUGUGAUGCUGGCAGCAAGCAGGGGAGUCUGGAGCAUGGUAGAAGGAGGUGCCUGCCUGGGCAGAGGAGAGUGCCUUUCUCCCUACCCUAACUCCUGUAACUAUCUUCACUCUCUUCUCUCCUGAAGAUCUGAUGGCUAUGACAGCUGCUUAGAGAAGUCAUAAGGCAGGCAAAGGACUUACAGGACAUCAGGAGGCCCUAAGGGAGAGGACCUCAGGAUUGGUGACAAUUCUGCCCCACCCCCUACAAUGAGGUACCAAUAUGGUCACAGAUACCUUCCUUAGUCAUAGCAACAAUUAUUGAUUGCUGAACUUACCAGAGUUUCGCCAAAGCUGUCAGUUACCACAAGCUGUUUGUUCAUUACAGAGAUAUGGGGCUAUUGUUCUAUGAGGUUGUUUGGUUAUUGUUUUGAGACAGAGUCUAGCUAUAUAGCCAAGGCUAGCCUAGAACUCCUUAUACAGACUAGCCCUCACCCUGUGAUCCUGCUUCUAGCAUUCCAAAUGCUGGAGUUACAAGCAUGUGUUACCAAACGUGGCUCUUUGCCCUUAUUCAUUGAUGGUUAGGACAGAAUUUGUAGCUGUGCCUUUUAGUUAGGGAGUUAUUCUAAGGGAUUCCCCCCAACCCCAUCCCUCUUGGACCCUACUCCAGGGCAGAAGGAAGGAGCAGUCUAGGAAUGGUUGUCAAAUAAAAUACAGAGCACUGAAUGUCAGACAAACAGAAAGUUUCAGUUUAAGUGUAUUCAAACCUUGCAUGGGAUAUACCUUUGUUAAAAUGUCCUGGCUUCCCUUUGUUUAUUGACUAAUCUAAGCCAGAACCAGGUGGGGUGGGGAGAAGUGGUGUUAGAAGUCUUGAGGCCCUGCCCCCACCUUCCCACCCUCCCACCCCUCACCCCCUAACCUCCCACCCCCACCCUCCCACCCCCCACUUCCCUAACCUCCCCCUCCCCACCCUCCCACCUCCCCACCCCCCUAACCUCCUACCCCACUCAUCCACCCACAUACCUCCCAUCCCCCCACCCUCACCUCAAUAUAUUCUUACUGCCAUGAGGCUAGGGAAAAGCUGUGAGGGCAGGUCCUCAGAGAAAGGUCGGGGAGGUGGGGGCAGGGGGCGGUGAGGGAGAGACAGAACAGAAUUAGAUAGAGAGACCUGAUCUUCUAGGAGGUCACUUGUCCCCACAGCACCGGGCCGGUUGGGUGGGUGGUGGCGCCAGAUCACUAAGUUAAGGCCAGGGGCACCUGUGUUCUGGCGCACAGACAGCCGCGUGGAGCCACAAAGCCUCUUAGAGGUAAAUUAUCUCCCUUCCAGUCAGCAGCACCCCAGCAGAGAGAGCCAGCAGGAGCCGAUUACCCUGACACUCCGGGACUGUUUUUAAGCUUCUCUCUUGCCGGCUGUCUUAAAGACUCAUCCCUGCCCCCAGUUCUUGUGGUCUCCAAGCAUCUGCUCAGGACUCCCAAGCACCCAGUGCUAAUCGCCUGAUGUUUAGAACAUCUGGGGAUCUGGAAGCAACGCUCCAGCUUUGCCUCCUUGUUUCUCCCAAGACCCGACGUCUUCAGAAUCCUCACACCCUACCCUGAACCCCAAACACCAUCAAUGCACUCAGACCUCAGGGACCUAAAUACACCUGAGAGGGGCUGAGGUCAGCACCCUGGAACAUAUCUUCAAAAGCAAAUUCCUCUGGAGCCCUAUCCUGCAGCUCCCUACACUCUUUACUUCAGAGCUAGAGAGACCUCUAGGUAAGGGACCAGGUUGCCUUCUGGGUAAGGGAACCCGAGAGAAUGGCCAGCUCUCCGAGCAUAGGAAAGACAAGGGCCAAUAACUCCUGUAUCCUGGAGAGGUCUGGGUACAGGAAAGCGGGGAAAGGGAGAACUAAGGGGACUAACGCCACUGUGUACCUGUGGAGGACAACAGGCAGGCUUCAUAGCAGAAAUGAACCUAUUCUCCCCUCUGUGGCAAAAGAUGUCUUCCAGCCACCAGUCCUGCGCCUGCCCCUUCAGGAGUAUGUCCUGGUCCUUUGCAGAACUGCCAGCUGCUCCUUUGCCUGAGUCCAGCUCCCUCAGCUCUGCCCAAUGGCUCUGGGUCAGACUCUGUACCCACCACCCUCAGAAUAUCUGAGCCCAUUAGCCGAUCAGGACAAGCCUAGACUCGAGGUCCACGGAGCAGCCUCUGACCCCAUUUCCCUGUGCCACCCAGUUUACCUCAUCACUUCAGACAGAACCCUCUGGACCAUGAGCCCAGAUAGAUCAUCCCUGUACAAGUGCUUGUCUUGAAUAAUUUAUCACCAUGGUAGGAAGUCUAGCUGUCACACCUGCUGGAUACCCUGCACAGGGGUCAGGAGGUAUCCAGAGCAAGCUUUGCUUCUGUUGUCAUUGUGGUUCCCAAUAGUUACGCACUCACCUGGCCUGAAUUUACUAAUUUGUUUGUUUUGUUUUGUGGCUGUUUUGUUUUUCUUUCUUUGGAGCAAUUUAGUAAGGUUACUCUUGUUAUUUCAUGUUUUCCUGUACAUGAUAACUUGUGAAGGCAAGACCAACACUCAGAUAUUACAUCAUCCUUUAAAAUAUGAUGAAUUAUUAAUUUGACUUUUUUCUUGAGCUACUCUGAAAGUAAACAGUUGCAUUUCAAAGA